rnacentral:rRNA from 1 species
CCUACGGGGGGCAGCAGUAGGGAAUUUUCCACAAUGGGGGCAACCCUGAUGGAGCAACGCCGCGUGCAGGAUGAAGGCCUUCGGGUUGUAAACUGCUUUUAUAUGUGAAGAUUAUGACGGUAGCAUAUGAAUAAGGAUCGGCUAACUACGUGCCAGCAGCCGCGGUCAUACGUAGGAUCCAAGCGUUAUCCGGAAUUACUGGGCGUAAAGAGUUGCGUAGGUGGCAUAGUAAGCGAGUAGUGAAAUCGUGUGGCUCAACCAUACACCCAUUACUUGAACUGCUAAGCUAGAGGAUGAGAGAGGUCACUGGAAUUCCAAGUGUAGGAGUGAAAUCCGUAGAUAUUUGGAGGAACACCGAUGGCGUAGGCAGGUGACUGGCUCAUUCCUGACACUAAGGCACGAAAGCGUGGGGAGCAAACGGGAUUAGAUACCCGUGUAGUC